GCUUGUUUUCACUAUACUUGUAUCUACAGUUGGCCGAAGUUGGGUUUGGUUGCUUCGAGCGAGGGUCGUCUGUUUCAGCUUUUUGAGAUCCAGGGUUGUGUAACAGAGAACGGUACUAAUUCAGACAGUAACGUUGGCAGAAGGUUUCUUGGCUUAGCCGCAGCGGCAGCCUGUGCUAUGUACUCGUUGAGUCUCUGACUAUCACUUUCUCGUUAGGUGGUCAAAAUCUUUCUUUCCCCGAAAUUGUUGAGCUAUGUUCUCUUUUUUUAUGUCUUGUCAAAGUGACCACAGUACAGUGAACUCUUGUGGAAGCUUGGGUGCUUUCUACUUUAUGAUGUUGGAGAGCGUUAGUAGGGAAUUUAUGCCAAGGUAUGUGUAUUAACGUUGAUAUGAUUCUGUUUCUAUAAGUUACUUUUCGUGCAGAGUGGAGGGUCUCAUUCAUAGUUGUCACCCAUAUCUGAUUGGCGGUUUUUAGUGUUUUUUACUUGAGGUUACUUCUCCUUGACUUCUCUAAGUGGGAGAAGCAUUCUGGGAGGUUUUGUGAUAUCUGAUUCUUUUCUCCUCUGCAACUUCAUUCUGUUUCUACAAGGGAACCAAGGAAACGUGGCACUGAUUUAGAGAUGAAGUUACAUUGUAAGUCUGUGUGGUUCCCAAGUUCAUGCAUGAAGACAGUAGGAGAGAUGGAUAUCGAGACUGAAGGUCUGUUUUGAUACUAUUUGAGACGUAUCCAAUAAAGCAGGCUUUUGGAGGGACUUCAAUCAGGUUUUUAAGUAGGAAAUAAACUUUGUGUUCUUCACUGAUCAGUUCAAAUAAACUUCCUUGUUUCUGAUUCUACUAGGCUACUUUUUCGUGGAGGACAUGUCAUUGACUUUUUGGUGCUCCACCGAAUAUUAAUAAUUUUUGCAUUCGAAUGAGAUGAGGUGGCACUGAAGGUUCUAUUAAUUGCUUCAGGACAUGAGGGUCUUCUGUUUGGUGUUACUUUUCUUUUUAGAUGUUCUUGUACUUCAGCUCUUGAUUCUGUAGAGCGAGAUCUAGUUCACGACUGAACAUUGAGUUUUAUGACCGUACUACUAACUGAAUGCAUCAAUCUGAGUUUGCUGUCUAUCUUUCCUGUUGUAACGUGUUUCGAGUCAAGUUAUGUUAUGUUCUGCAGCAGUAAGAGACUUUUCUUAGAGUCUGUCGUUUACAAGAUUCUACCAAAUUGUGAGGCUUAUUCUUGGGGUUAUUGAAGGUUCAGACGUUCAUAUGUUUUCUAUUGGUGAACCCAUGUCAGAAGGUUUGCUGAAUUAUGUUUAUUGAGAAGUUUUCUGUUGACACCGCCAGAAGAUGGAUUGUUGGAUACUAUGCCAAGAAAGUUUGCUUUUUGUGUACUUCUUUAUGAAAACAGCUGACAGUGUGUGUUGUAUUGCUACUUAUUAUCACUUUGUUCCAUUUCAUUUUGUUAGUCUUGAUGUCAUGCUUUGAGAUAUUUUACAAUAGGGUUUUAAGUUGAUGAAUACUGGAAGGGUUUUUUAGCUGGUUAUAUUAUUUCAUCAUGCCAUUAUCUUUACUUGAUCUGUGUGCUAGAAAUAAUUUUGGGAUCAACGUCUCAGUGGAUGAUCCAGGAAACAGACGUUUCUGGUCUCUGAUGGUUGCCUGUUCAGUGGAUAGUUCUCAGCCUUUCUCCUUUUGGCGAUUUCACAUUUCAGGGGUUUCCAAUCUCCAUCGUUUUUUAAUUCUUAAAUUAGUCGAUGUUGAAUAUCCUGAUAAACUUUAUUGGUUGCAUUGUAGGCGAGUCAAGAGGUUUCACUCUUGAUAAGACUCGAGCAUAAGAAUCUGGUUAAGCUUCUUGGUUUCUGUAAUGAAGGAGAUGAAGUGAUUCUUGUCUCUGAGUUUGUCCCCGACCGCUUUAUCUUCGAUAACUUGACAAGCUAGUGAAAUCAAUGUCACAGAAAGUGAAAAAACACCGGUCAUCGAAACUGUGAUCUUACAAAGUUACACAAUACAAUGGGAUAGUCUCUUUGCUGUAAUCAUCUUCAGCUGCAUCUAACAUCAGCUACAAGAUGGCGAAUCCGAGGAGCAUACCAUUUCACUUUCUCUAUAUGUUCUACUGUAACUUCCCACCUACGACCUAAACCAUGACAAAACCCAAAAUAUAAGCCUGAGUGUUAUUCUGUGAUUAACCAAAAUCAAGAAAACCCCACUACAUCAGAGUCUUGAUUUAGUAACCAAAAU